GAUGAACGCUGGCGGCGUGCCUAAUACGUGCAAGUCGAGCGAAUGGAUUAAGAGCUUGCUCUUAUGAAGUUAGCGGCGGACGGGUGAGUAACACGUGGGUAACCUGCCCAUAAGACUGGGAUAACUCCGGGAAACCGGGGCUAAUACCGGAUAACAUUUUGAACCGCAUGGUUCGAAAUUGAAAGGCGGCUUCGGCUGUCACUUAUGGAUGGACCCGCGUCGCAUUAGCUAGUUGGUGAGGUAACGGCUCACCAAGGCAACGAUGCGUAGCCGACCUGAGAGGGUGAUCGGCCACACUGGGACUGAGACACGGCCCAGACUCCUACGGGAGGCAGCAGUAGGGAAUCUUCCGCAAUGGACGAAAGUCUGACGGAGCAACGCCGCGUGAGUGAUGAAGGCUUUCGGGUCGUAAAACUCUGUUGUUAGGGAAUAACAAGUGCUAGUUGAAUAAGCUGGCACCUUGACGGUACCUAACCAGAAAGCCACGGCUAACUACGUGCCAGCCGCCGCCGUAA
rnacentral:rRNA from 1 species